rnacentral:rRNA from 1 species
GGAGCAGCCCAGAGCCUGAAUCAGUGUGUGUGUUAGUGGAAGCGUCUGGAAAGGCGUGCGAUACAGGGUGACAGCCCCGUACACAAAAAUGCACAUACUGUGAGCUCGAUGAGUAGGGCGGGACACGUGGUAUCCUGUCUGAAUAUGGGGGGACCAUCCUCCAAGGCUAAAUACUCCUGACUGACCGAUAGUGAACCAGUACCGUGAGGGAAAGGCGAAAAGAACCCCGGCGAGGGGAGUGAAAAAGAACCUGAAACCGUGUACGUACAAGCAGUGGGAGCACGCUUAGGCGUGUGACUGCGUACCUUUUGUAUAAUGGGUCAGCGACUUAUAUUCUGUAGCAAGGUUAACCGAAUAGGGGAGCCGAAGGGAAACCGAGUCUUAACUGGGCGUUAAGUUGCAGGGUAUAGACCCGAAACCCGGUGAUCUAGCCAUGGGCAGGUUGAAGGUUGGGUAACACUAACUGGAGGACCGAACCGACUAAUGUUGAAAAAUUAGCGGAUGACUUGUGGCUGGGGGUGAAAGGCCAAUCAAACCGGGAGAUAGCUGGUUCUCCCCGAAAGCUAU